UACGUAGGGCGCAAGCGUUGUCCGGAUUUAUUGGGCGUAAAGAGCUCGUAGGCGGUCCGUCACGUCGGUUGUGAAAACCCGGGGCUCAACCCCGGGCCUGCAUCCGAUACGGGCGGACUAGAGUGCGGUAGGGGAGACCGGAAUUCCUGGUGUAGCGGUGAAAUGCGCAGAUAUCAGGAGGAACACCGAUGGCGAAGGCAGGUCUCUGGGCCGUAACUGACGCUGAGGAGCGAAAGCGUGGGGAGCAAACAGG
rnacentral:rRNA from 1 species